rnacentral:sRNA from 1 species
UGGUAAUGGGGGGUAAUGCGUCCGAGG